CCUCACUUUCGUUUUCUCUCUCUCUUCUUCUCUUUUAUCACUUUUUCCUGAAACCCUAAUCUGCCGCCGAGUUACCAAAGUUCAAGCAAAGAAAGAACCGAAAAAGAUAACAACAAAUGGCAUUAGGGUCACGAUCGAUAACCGGAGAUCCAGAAAUCGAUAGAGAACAGUGAAGAUCUUAUGCACGUCCAACCGCCAUCGACAUAGCCCUCGCCAAUCUUCUUCGCGAAUCACCUAACACUCUCUACAUUACAACCAAGUAAGUAAAACUCAGACACAUUCACUCAUUCAUUCAGAUUCGUAAACCACGAUUCUUGCGGUUGUUUAUUUGUGUUGUUCUAUGUUCUAAAGACAAGUGAUAUGUAUUGGAUGACUUCCAAUAUUUUGCAUUGGAUAUGUAUUUUUUAGUUUUUUAUUUUGAUUUUUGUAUAAUGCUUUUCGAUGAUUUUGACACAAACUACCCGGGACUGCAACAAACUUACAACAACAAGGCAUGGAUCUUUUGGUGGAGUUCGAUUGAAAAAAAUGGGUGCCUUCCAGUAUUUUGGACUUAAGGAAGAUAGUACCUUGCAGCCUGGGUGAAGGAAUACAAGGGUGGAAAAUUUGCUCUUUCAGUACUUGAAGAAUUUCUUUUCCCUCCACACUUUUUUAGUUCUCUUCCAUCACUUCAGUUCACUUCUCUUUCCUUAUUAUGUCAUUCACUGAUUCAUGCUUCAACGCUAACCGGUGAUUUAUUUAACUUCAAAUUUUCUGUUUCCCAAUGAAAGCUCCACCAUUCUCAAGUUUGAAUACAUCAGUGGCUAUUUGGAUGAUCCCAUUUGAACUUAGUGGAGCAAUAUGGGAAAAGAAACCGUACAAGAAACCGCAAACUCUGUCAUUCAAUUCUGGUUCAUAGGGUGCAUUUGAAGACAAAAGUUUCUCCUUUAUUAAGGAUGUUAAGACCAUUGAUAACAUGAUUUGUCUUAAGGAUGUUAGAGAUAAAGAGAUUCACAAAAUUGCAAUGGUUGUUAGGAAAAUAAAUAGAGUUGUCGAUAUUCUCCAUAUUGGGUUCUAAGACAGUAUGAACAUGGAACUUGACUUUGUUGUGACGAAUAAAAAAAAGUCAAUUAAGAUUUGGCACUAAUUUUGAAUUCAAUUUCACAUAAUGGUCAUCUCUUAGUUAAUAAUGAAUUAUGAGACAUAAAUGUAUUUCUACAACAAUAUCAUCAUAUUUAUUAUUUGUGUGUAAGUGAUUGGUCAAUAAU